rnacentral:rRNA from 1 species
CCUACGGGCGGCAGCAGUGAGGAAUAUUGGUCAAUGGACGAGAGUCUGAACCAGCCAAGUAGCGUGAAGGAUGACUGCCCUAUGGGUUGUAAACUUCUUUUAUAUGGGAAUAAAACAGGGUAUGCAUACCCUCUUGUAUGUACCAUAUGAAUAAGGAUCGGCUAACUCCGUGCCAGCAGCCGCGGUAAUACGGAGGAUCCGAGCGUUAUCCGGAUUUAUUGGGUUUAAAGGGAGCGUAGGUGGAUUGUUAAGUCAGUUGUGAAAGUUUGCGGCUCAACCGUAAAAUUGCAGUUGAAACUGGCAGUCGUGAGUACAGUAGAGGUGGGCGGAAGUCGUGGUGUAGCGGUGAAAUGCUUAGAUAUCACGAAGAACUCCGAUUGCGAAGGCAGCUCACUGGACUGCAACUGACACUGAUGCUCGAAAGUGUGGGUAUCAAACAGGAUUAGAUACCCCAGUAGUC